rnacentral:lncRNA from 1 species
AUUGUUUCAUUAGUUUUUAGUUUUAGUUUUUGGUUUUUAGAUUUUAGUUUUUGGUUUUUAGAUUUUGGUUUUUAGUUUGGUUUUUGGUUUUUGGUUUUUAGAUUUUGAUUUUAGUUUUUGGUUUUGCAGUAUUUUUUUAUUUUUCAAAAAUUAAUUAAUGCGUUACUUUGAAAUAAUACAACAAAAUAGAAAUAAAUAUUUAUAUUUACAAUUAAAAUUAUCAAAAUCUUGUGAUAAUUAUUUUAAAAUAAAAUACAAUAACAUAUUUU